ensembl:lncRNA
GAUGGAAUAAAAAAAGCUGUUGUUUGUCUCUCAGUGAGAAUUUAAUCUUUUCUAGUUGUAAGUGUAGCAUUAUGUCUCAGCAGGUUUUGGUGAGUUGUUUUUUUUUUUGCUCUUCCAGUUCAAUAAAAUUAAGCGUAACAUAACUCAAGAUAUUCUUUUGUUUGUUAUUAAGGCUCAAAUCUGCAGUGGUCACUCCAAAAAGUGCAACAUUUUUAACACAAAUAUACUCACAUGUAGAAAAGACCAAAGUUUAUUAUUAACAACAGUGGGCAAACAGACACCAGCGUUUUCAGUUUCGAUACCGAUACUGAUGCCGAUACUUUGAUUUUUAUGUAUCUGCUCAUACCCGAUAUCAACCCAUACCAGUGUAGGGUCGGAAAAUGGCAGUUUUUUCCCUAAAAUACAGUUAACUUACUACACAAAAGAUCAGAUCGUCUUAUGUAACUGUGACUUUUCAUUCAAAUCACGACUGAGCAGCUUCCUAUGAAUCAAAGUUCAAACAUUAUGCAACGUUUUAGGCGAAAAUCAGCUUCUAAAUCGUCUUAUUCCAUCCAAUUAAGGCCCCUAGACCUGUCACGAUAACACAUUUUGAAAACUUUGAUGUAUCACUGAAGUAAAUAAAGACGUUAAAUGAUAAUAUUGAGACACAAGAGCAGAUUUAAACCAAAAAAACUAUUCUAAAUCUACAAUAUUGUUAAAAAAUCAUGAGCUGCAAUGAAUAAACAGCAGAAUUAAACACUUUAGUUCUUAGUUUGGUCUUAGACGCUGUAGAUCAGACAUGCCCAAACUGUGGCUCGGGGGCCAAAUGUGGCACGUAGACCAAUUUUUCUCAGCCCUCUUGCUUCCAGAUGAAUUGGUCCAUGUUACCUUGAACUUACGUUUUACUGUACACUUCUGAAAAUCUGCUUUAACAAGCCUAAUCAGCUAUUUAAUGUGUCCUGUUGAGGAUGUAAGCGUGAAUAAACGUCUAGCGGUUCAGUCUAAUGUGUAAUAAUAACACAGAUUUGAAGUAUUUACUGUAUCGGCGACCAGUUUAUGGCCUUCAAUCGACCCCCAGCUUUGUUUUCUAUAGAUUACAUGACCAAAAACAUGCAAAGAAAAUGUACAAAUGAUAAAUAGAAUGAUAUAGAAAUGAUCACGACAGACGUAGAUACGCAGAAAUGUCCCAGUAUCGGUACCAAUAUCGAUGCAUCCAGACCAGAAACUAAGCUCCGGCUGGUGCUAUGUUCCGUAUUUUAACGCCAGAGCUUCAAAAACUCUGCAUUAUGUGUUUUUGUUCUACUCUAUUACACCAUGUGCGGCCUAUAAACUCACAGCUGACGUCCUUAUCUCGUCCGAGUUUGUUUUCACACAGUCCCAAGGCUGUUUUUUUUUCAACUGGAACUGGAACAAACCAAAAAAGUUUGUCAUGAAAUCAGAACAAAAGGAUCAGAUACAGACUCAGAAUCUCAGCGCGUCCUUCUAUCGGCCGUCUGAGCGUGCGGCGUUGGAUUACGGCGGGUCAGAUAAGACUCGGGGCGGCCGCGAUGUGUCCUCUCGGCGCUUUGUGUUUUUGUCGGAGUAGCGUUGGCUCGUGGUUCCGCGGAUCGGCCCGACUCUGCUCUCAGAAGCACAGAAGGAGGAAGUGACCUAGUUUGACUAAAUGGGACCAACUGUGGAGGUCUCGGAGAAUGGAGAGACUUUAAAGACGAGUGAACCAGAUGAGCAUCACAAGGUCUGAGGAGAAAACAACACGAUUACACAUUUGGAAGAGCGAUAUAUCGGUGAAGAAGGGAUAAUAUCGCUUAUUCUGAUAAAAAAGGUCGACAAUAAUCAUUCGUGGGAUAUUUUAUAUAACUGUGAGAAACGGCAGCAAAGAUAAUCACCGUUGUACGAUCAGAAUGUGCAGAAAAAAACGACUUAUCCAC